AAAUAUGAUUAAUAAACAGGUGCUAAAAUCCUUAACCAGAUUUUUAGCUUAAUAGGGAAGUUGGUGAAAAGCCAACGCGGUCCCGCCACUGUAAAUGGGAGCAAACUAUAUUCCGCCACUGUCUAAGAGAUGGGAAGGCAUAGGGAGCAAUGACCAUGAGCCAGGAAACCUGCCUGUUUCUUGCCCGUCUA
rnacentral:ncRNA from 2 species